GGGGGGGGCAAGCGUUGUUCGGAAUUACUGGGSGUAAAGGGCUUGUAGGUGGCCAACUAAGUCAGACGUGAAAUCCCUCGGCUUAACCGGGGAACUGCGUCUGAUACUGGAUGGCCGGAGUUUGGGAGAGGGAUGCGGAAUUCCAGGUGUAGCGGUGAAAUGCGUAGAUAUCUGGAGGAACACCGGUGGCGAAGGCGGCAUCCUGGACCAACACUGACACUGAAAAGCGAAAGCCAGGGGAGCAAACGGGAUUAGAUACCCCGGUAGUCCUGGCCCUAAACGAUGAAUGCUUGGUGUGGCGGGUAUCGAUCCCUGCCGUGCCGAAGCUAACGCAUUAAGCAUUCCGCCUGGGGAGUACGGUCGCWWKWMWG
rnacentral:rRNA from 1 species